UACGUAGGGGGCUAGCGUUGCUCGGAAUUACUGGGCGUAAAGGGUGCGUAGGCGGUUCUUUAAGUCAGAGGUGAAAUCCUGGAGCUCAACUCCAGAACUGCCUUUGAUACUGAGGAUCUUGAGUUCGGGAGAGGUGAGUGGAACUGCGAGUGUAGAGGUGAAAUUCGUAGAGAUCAGGUGGAACACCGGAGGCGAAGGCGCCUGCCUGGCAGUAUAUUGACGCUGAGGUGCGAAAGUGCGGGGAGCAAACAGG
rnacentral:rRNA from 1 species